AUACUUACCUGGAUGGGGCUGUUGGAUGAUCACUAAGAUCCAUAGUCUAGGUUGGCAAUCUCCAUUGCACUUUGGAGGGGUGUCUAUCUAAGGUCAACCCAAGUGGUUGAGCCUACAUCAUAAUUUGUGGUAGUGGGGCUUGCGUUCGCGCAGCCCCUAC